CAUCGGAUGACCACUGGGAGUAUGGAGUGAAAAUAGUGUCAAAAAGAUUUGUGUGUGCAUAAAAUGAUUUGUGCAUGCGUAACAGGAUUUGUGCGUGUGUAAAAAGAUUUGUGUGUGCGUACCAGGUGAUUUGUGUGUACUUUUCCAACAUGUAUUUUAUUUUUAAGGUUUACAAAUCCUGUUACGCACGCACAAAUCAUUUUACGCACGCAGAAAUCAUUUUACGCACACACAAAUCUUUUUGACACUAUUUUCACUCCAUAUGGGAGGACCUUUAGUGACGUAACACAUCAGCAGACCAGGAGGCGGAUCUUAGGAUAUAAGCAAUGUGUCUUCCGUGUUUGAGCAGAUGCUGUAUAAUUUCGGUUAUAUUCACUCCACAACAAAUUAGCCUGUGAGGACCCAAACCUCCUGGACUAUGGGAUUCCUCUCCAUCUUGGUCCCACUGUGGGUUACUUUGAACUGGACCUGAUCCGUGAACCUGGUCGUUACAUGAUCCGUGGAGAUGAGCUGGGCAUCAGCCUUCAGGAAUUUGGGAUUGUUCUCCGUUUCUGUUCCGCUGCUGGAAACAUUGGAUUGGAUCUGAUCCAUGGAUCUGUUCGUAUCUGGGUCCAAGGUUUCCUGUCAGUUCUCCCAUUGCUGGAUGGAAACAACACUGGGCCUCAUUGGACCUUCUGUCUUCAGAAUAAUUAGAAAACUGGACAACCUGCUGCAAGAGGUUGUUUUAAAGACCUUCUGCAUCAACAACGUCUCAUCUCAGCUCCUUUAAUGCCAAACUAAUUAGUUUUAUGGGGAAAAAGUAAAAAUUACCGUUUUUUAGGGACAAAAUGAUUUGUUAGGCAAAUUUUGUGACCAAAUAGAUUUUUUUGUUUGUGCAAAUCAGAGAAUAUUAUUUUUUAAAUACACUUUAAUGUUCAAAAUCCCUAUGGAGUCAUGUGUCAAAUAAUAUAAAAAUGUUUACAUCUUCAAAUGCCAUAAAGUGCCUUGAUGUUAUUAAUAUGUUGCUGUAAAAGUUCAUCAGGAUGAAAAAAGUGUUUCUUGUUAAUUGUAACAAUGUUGAUGUUUAGGCCAUUCAUUUUCUUAAAACAUGCCCUUUGCAGUAUGUGACGGUGCGGUGAGAGGUUGGAGAAGGAGUUAGCAAUGGUGGUUAGCCACUCUAACCCAAAACAGCAGGACGCACUGUUGAAGUUUUCCACACUGUCACUUUAUUUUCACUUCGUCCAUGUAAAGCCAGGUCUCCACGGUACUAACAUUUCAGUCUCAUACAUGAGAAAAGAAACGAUAAUUCACCGCUCUGCACCUCAUCAUCACCGAUGAUCUCCUCUACACCACAUGGAAGACGAGUUCUUACUCUGUACAAUAGUACAACAAAAGAAAAAGGGAAUAGGCGCCCCCUUGUGGUGAUACCUACUCAUGUCUAGGAACCAAGCAGUAUAAUGACUGUUACAAGUAUGGAUGCUAGAAAUGAAUUUAUUGUUGUACUGUAUUGUUAUUAUUGCUUUAGCAUGGCUAGAGACUGACACUGUAAUCUGUACUCUGCAGGACGUCCUAUACUUGAAUAGCUUUGCAGCACAUUACAAAAUAAAUGCAUUUCAAACAUAAAAAC